rnacentral:rRNA from 1 species
AAGGUCUCCGUAGGUGAACCUGCGGAGGGAUCAUUACACAAAUAUGAAGGCGGGCUGGAACCUCUCGGGGUUACAGCCUUGCUGAAUUAUUCACCCUUGUCUUUUGCGUACUUCUUGUUUCCUUGGUGGGUUCGCCCACCACUAGGACAAACAUAAACCUUUUGUAAUUGCAAUCAGCGUCAGUAACAAAUUAAUAAUUACAACUUUCAACAACGGAUCUCUUGGUUCUGGCAUCGAUGAAGAACGCAGCGAAAUGCGAUAAGUAGUGUGAAUUGCAGAAUUCAGUGAAUCAUCGAAUCUUUGAACGCACAUUGCGCCCUUUGGUAUUCCAAAGGGCAUGCCUGUUCGAGCGUCAUUUGUACCCUCCAAGCUUUGCUUGGUGUUGGGCGUCUUGUCUCUAGCUUUGCUGGAGACUCGCCUUAAAGUAAUUGGCAGCCGGCCUACUGGUUUCGGAGCGCAGCACAAGUCGCACUCUCUAUCAGCAAAGGUCUAGCAUCCAUUAAGCCUUUUUUCAACUUUUGACCUCGGAUCAGGUAGGGGAUACCCGCAGAACUUAAGCAU